rfam:TPA: Bos taurus chromosome 11, whole genome shotgun sequence.
GUGCUUGCUUUGGCAGCACAUAUACUAAAAUUGGAAUGACACAGAGAAGAUCAGCACUGCCCCUGCUCAAGGAUGACAUGCAAAUUUGUGAAGAGUUCCACAUUUUU